rnacentral:rRNA from 1 species
UACGUAGGGGGCAAGCGUUAUCCGGAUUUACUGGGUGUAAAGGGAGCGUAGACGGCGCGGCAAGUCUGAAGUGAAAGGCAGGGGCUUAACCCCUGAACUGCUUUGGAAACUGCCAUGCUAGAGUGCUGGAGAGGUAAGUGGAAUUCCUAGUGUAGCGGUGAAAUGCGUAGAUAUUAGGAGGAACACCAGUGGCGAAGGCGGCUUACUGGACAGUAACUGACGUUGAGGCUCGAAAGCGUGGGGAGCAAACAGG